GUUUUGGUCACCUUGCGGGUCCAUCUAAACAUUCUCUGCAAUUAACUUUAGUUUUGUGGAGGAAACACUUUGACUCAUGGGAUGGAAUAGUUUGAAUAUUAGAGUUUAAAAUGGACAGUGAAGGGUGUGCCACACAGAAAACAAGAGAUUUCAUUUUUGCUAGUCUCUGGAAUGGUUCAAUUUUAAAGAAGGGUUAAUGAUUUUGUAGAUAUAUGGUUGGAGAGGAAUGCAGAGUAGUAAACUAGUUUGGAAUUUCCAGCUU
rnacentral:lncRNA from 1 species